CCGAAACGGGUGCGGAACACGUACGCAACCUUCCUUUAAGCGGGGGAUAGCCCAGAGAAAUUUGGAUUAAUACCCCAUAGUAUAAUUUUCAGGCAUCUGGGAGUUAUUAAAGAUUUAUCACUUGAAGAUGGGUGUGCGUCUGAUUAGGUAGUUGGUGCGGGUAACGGCCCACCAAGCCAACGAUCAGUAACUGGUGUGAGAGCACGACCAGUCACACGGGCACUGAGACACGGGCCCG
rnacentral:rRNA from 1 species